GUUACAAGCCAGGCUAUCGCUCCGGGUAAACCGGGGAGGAAAGUCCGGACAGCACAGAGCAAUGCACCGGUGAAGAGCCGGGUAAUGCGCAAGCAUUAACAGACAGUGCCACAGAAAAUGACUGCUCCCCCUCUCUACUUGUGGAGAGGGUUGGGGUGAGGGUGAAAAUGUGAGGUAAGAGCUCACGGCUUUUGAUGGUAACAUCAUUAGCGGGUAAACCUUGCAUGCUGAAAUGCCACAUAUAGUAUCGCCCGAGGACGGCUCGUCCGAGUUCCGGCUUGCCGGAACGUGAUACAGGGUAGGCAGCUUGAGCCCGGUGAGUAAUUACCGGGACAGAUAAAUGAUAGCCCGCGACAGAAUCCGGCUUACCGGCUUGUAGCUUUU
rnacentral:RNase_P_RNA from 1 species